rnacentral:lncRNA from 1 species
GUGCCCUUUGGCAUCAAAAGUAUGAUUAAUGAUUUAAAUUAAUGACAAUAUUAUUGUGCAAUAAGAUGCAUAUAAUAAAUGAAUAUUUACUUUUUGAUAUCACGCAUAACCGCACAUUACAUUUUUUUGAAAAACAACAACAUACUUUACGGUUUAUUGAACCCUGCUUUUUAGGUUCAUAAGUGCAUAUGUGUAUAGGUUAAACCUAUUUAAAAGAAUAUUU